AACGAACGCUGGCGGCAUGCCUAACACAUGCAAGUCGAACGAGACCUUCGGGUCUAGUGGCGCACGGGUGCGUAACGCGUGGGAAUCUGCCCUUGGGUCCGGGAUAACAGUUGGAAACGACUGCUAAUACCGGAUGACGUCUUCGGACCAAAGAUUUAUCGCUCAGGGAUGAGCCCGCGUCGGAUUAGCCAGUUGGUAGGGUAAAAGCCUACCAAGGCGACGAUCCGUAGCUGGUCUGAGAGGAUGAUCAGCCACACUGGGACUGAGACACGGCCCAGACGCCUACGGGAGGCAGCAGUGGGGAAUAUUGGACAAUGGGCGAAAGCCUGAUCCAGCAAUGCCGCGUGAGUGAUGAAGGCCUUAGGGUUGUAAAGCUCUUUUACCCGGGAUGAUAAUGACAGUACCGGGAGAAUAAGCCCCGGCUAACUCCGUGCCAGCAGCCGCCGUAA
rnacentral:rRNA from 1 species